rnacentral:rRNA from 1 species
CCUACGGGUGGCAGCAGUGAGGAAUAUUGGUCAAUGGGCGCGAGCCUGAACCAGCCAAGUAGCGUGAAGGAUGACUGCCCUACGGGUUGUAAACUUCUUUUAUAAAGGAGUAAAGUGAGGCACGUGUGCCUUUUUGUAUGUACUUUAUGAAUAAGGAUCGGCUAACUCCGUGCCAGCAGCCGCGGUAAUACGGAGGAGCCGACAGUUGUCCGGAUUUAUUGGGUUUAAAGGGAGCGUAGAUGGGUUGUUAAGUCAGUUGUGAAAGUUUGCGGCUCAACCGUAAAAUUGCAAUUGAUACUGGCAGUCUUGAGUACAGGUGAGGUAGGCGGAAUUCGUGGUGUAGCAGUGAAAUGCUUAGAUAUCACGAAGAACUCCGAUUGCGAAGGCAGCUGACUAAACUGCCACUGACACUGAUGCUCGAAAGUGUGGGUAUCAAACAGGAUUAGAUACCCUUGUAGUC